UCUGGUGACAACAGAGCUGCGGAACCACCUGAUUCCAUCCCGAACUCAGUAGUGAAACACAGCAUCGCCGAUGGUAGUGUGGGGUCUCCCCAUGUGAGAGUAGGUCAUUGCCAGGC
rnacentral:rRNA from 1 species